CACGUAGGGCGCAAGCGUUGUCCGGAAUUAUUGGGCGUAAAGAGCGUGUAGGCGGCUAUUUAAGUCCUGCGUGAAAUCCUGCGGCUCAACCGCAGACGGUCGUGGGAAACUGGAUGGCUAGAGUGCGGGAGAGGAGAGUGGAAUUCCCGGUGUAGAGGUGAAAUUCGUAGAUAUCGGGAGGAACACCAGUGGCGAAGGCGGCGAUCUGGGAAGAUACUGACGCUGAGGUGCGAAAGCGUGGGGAGCAAACAGG
rnacentral:rRNA from 1 species